rnacentral:rRNA from 1 species
AUUGAACGCUGGCGGCAUGCUUUACACAUGCAAGUCGAACGGCAGCGCGGGCUUCGGCCUGGCGGCGAGUGGCGAACGGGUGAGUAAUGCAUCGGAACGUGCCCAGUCGUGGGGGAUAGCCCAGCGAAAGCCGGAUUAAUACCGCAUACGACCUGAGGGUGAAAGCGGGGGACCGAAAGGCCUCGCGCUAUUGGAGCGGCCGAUGUCGGAUUAGCUAGUUGGUGGGGUAAAGGCUUACCAAGGCGACGAUCCGUAGCUGGUCUGAGAGGACGACCAGCCACACUGGGACUGAGACACGGCCCAGACUCCUACGGGAGGCAGCCGUGGGGAAUUUUGGACAAUGGGGGCAACCCUGAUCCAGCCAUGCCGCGUGCGGGAAGAAGGCCUUCGGGUUGUAAACCGCUUUUGUUCGGGAAGAAAUCCUCUGGGCUAAUACCCCGGGGGGAUGACGGUACCGGAAGAAUAAGCACCGGCUAACUACGUG